UUUUUUGUACCAUUUUUGGAGAGGAAGGGAAAUUUCCUGAGGUCAUGCAAGCUGCACAACUUGUUAAUGUGCCAGAUUAUCACUCUAUAGACAGAAGCUCAGCUAAAAGGACAUUACAGAUGUAACUAACAAAGACUUCGAUGCAAAAAAAAGAUUGGAAAUGAUUCAGAUAGUUUGUCUUCAAUUGAGUCAA